GUAGAUGGAUUUUUGGUUUAUGACUUAGUGGACCAUGCACCCCCAAACUUGUUGAGAUCUAUGGGUGGCUAGGACUUCAAAAAAUUUGACCUACAAAAGAAUUGUAUUAAUUCAAAAUGUAAUAACAAAAGUAUUAAUCACAAGUAACAUAAACAAAAGUGUAAGGAUAAGAAAGUUGGGUUGCCCCCAACAAGCGCUUG
rnacentral:lncRNA from 1 species